GGGACCGAUCUGGCUUCGACGUGGGUGCGGAGUCGGCGCGGGGCAUGCCGAGCACCAGUCCGCUCGUAAAUCCACUGGAAACAAGUAACUGCGAACGACGAACGUUUCGCCCUCGCCGCUUAAACACCGGUGAGCCUCGCAACGGUUGGCCGAUGGGCCGGGCGUGAGGUCGCAAGACCAUAGCGCUGCGAGGUCAUUCACAUCGGCUCGGCCUCCGCCGCGUCAUUCGACGGGGGCUAAGAUCCAAGUGACUCGGGGACCAGGCAGCGUGCUGCUGCGCGGCCGGGGCCCUCAAAUCCAAAUCAGACAGCUACGCAUGUAGAACCGUCCGGCGAUGGCUUGCGGACGGGGGUUCGAUUCCCCCCGGUUCCACCA
rnacentral:tmRNA from 2 species